CGCGGUAUCCUAACCGUGCAAAGGUCGCAAAAUCACUUGUUCUUUAAAUAAGGACUUGUAUCAACGGCAUCACGAGGGUUCUACUGUCUCCUCUCUCCAAUCGGUGAAACUGAUCUCCCUAUGAAAAAGUGGGGAUAAACUUAUAAGACGAGAAGACCCCAUGGAGCUUUAAAACCUAUAGCAACCUAGCAAACACUUCCAUUUAGCUAUAAAACUAUGCUUAAGGACUUUAGGUUGGGAGGACCACGGAGCACAAAAUAACCUCCGCAAUGAAAAGAAUAAAAUCUUUACCAAAGAGCCACAACUCCAAGAAUUAGAAAACUAACGUACAUGACCCGAUAUCGAUCAAUGAACUAAGUUACCCUGGGGAUAACAGCGCAAUCCAUUCUGAGAGUUCAUAUCGACGAACGGGCUUACGACCUCGAUGUUGGAUCAGGGUAUCCUGGUGGUGCAGCCGCUACCGAAGGUUCGUUUGUUCAAC
rnacentral:rRNA from 1 species